AUUCCGACGUUCAGCACACCCAGAGGCCUGUCGAAAUUUUUUGGUUUCUUCAUCUCGUUCUUCAGUGGCAAAACCUGAGACAAAGUAAGCAGUUCGUCUUACCAGUGUGAUGCCCUCGAAGGAGUAGAUGACGGUACCAAAGAACAGUGGCAGCUUGCUCCAGUCGGCGAUGUAUCUGCGUUCGGAAACCGGCGGCAGAUCGUGACACAUUAUGUAGAUGGAAGCGAUGUAUCCGGAUAUGAUAAGGGCGUUCGCUACCGAGGAUAGUGGCACUAGGAACUUGAGGUUGCGUAUCCAGGUGCUCAGCAAUAUCGGGAUCAGCGCUAUCACCAUGUGCACGUGCACGUCGAGGUCGACGCCCCAAACCUUCAUUACCUGCGCACCGACUCAUUACUCAAGACUUUCUUCGCGUAGCGCAAGUGGCCCAGUGGCGAAGCACAGCUCCACCGUCGCGGCAUAGCCGGGGUUUGUCUCCAGCGAACUGCCGAGCCUCCGCCUCACUUCCUGGUUACAGUUCAGCUGUGAACGAGAGGUCAUUGUUAGUUCCCUUUUGCCACUCUAAUUGGGCUAAAAGUGAAGUUUGCAUGCUGACUGAGAGAGACGUACCGGAGUCAGUCCAAGAUCUUUGGAGCGCAUUUACGCCUAUAGCGUUACGUGCAUCGUGGAGAAAAACAAAUUUUGAAAAUUGAAACGUCGCCAAGCUGGUUACGCGGGUGAUUCUUAGAUACAUAAUAAUACCCAUACCGAGAUCGCAAUCGAUUCAAAUACAGCUCAUCCAAGGUAUUUAACGUUUAUUGGCCAGCUACAUAAUCCACAAAAAGCACUCGAUCGAAUGUAAUAAAAGAAAAACGUGCCAACGAGAUUCGCGCCAAUAUAGCGGCCAAUUCAAACGCGUCAGUACCAUGUAUACGCAAAUUAAAGCCGACGCGACCAAAAAAUAAAAAGGAAAAUAUAUCCUGCGAGUCAUUCACAGCGUGCAA